rnacentral:tRNA from 1 species
UGGGAUGUCGUCCAACUGGCAGGACGGUGGACUCUGGAUCCAUUAAUCGGGGUUCAAAUCCCUGCAUCCCAG